rnacentral:rRNA from 1 species
GACGAACGCUGGCGGCGUGCUUAACACAUGCAAGUCGAGCGGAAAGGCCCUUCGGGGUACUCGAGCGGCGAACGGGUGAGUAACACGUGAGUAACCUGCCCCCGACUUUGGGAUAACCCUCGGAAACGGGGGCUAAUACCGGAUACGACACAGCUUCGCAUGGGGUCUGUGUGGAAAGUUUUUCGGUUUGGGAUGGGCUCGCGGCCUAUCAGCUUGUUGGUGGGGUGCUGGCCUACAAAGGCGACGACGGGUAGCCGGCCUGUGAGGGCGACCGGCCACACUGGGACUGAGACACGGCCCAGACGCCUACGGGAGGCAGCAGUGGGGAAUAUUGCACAAUGGGCGGAAGCCUGAUGCAGCGACGCCGCGUGAGGGAUGACGUCCUUCGGGUUGUAAACCUCUGUCUGCAGGGACGAAGCGUAAUUGACGGUACCUGCAGAAGAAGCGCCGGCCAACUACGUG